rnacentral:rRNA from 1 species
GAUGAACGCUGGCGGCGUGCUUAACACAUGCAAGUCGAACGGUGAAGGCGGAGCUUGCUCUGCUGGAUCAGUGGCGAACGGGUGAGUAACACGUGAGCAAUCUGCCCCUGACUCUGGGAUAAGCGCUGGAAACGGCGUCUAAUACUGGAUACGAGCUGCGAAGGCAUCUUCAGCAGCUGGAAAGAAUUUCGGUCAGGGACGAGCUCGCGGCCUAUCAGCUUGUUGGUGAGGUAAUGGCUCACCAAGGCGUCGACGGGUAGCCGGCCUGAGAGGGUGACCGGCCACACUGGGACUGAGACACGGCCCAGACUCCUACGGGAGGCAGCAGUGAGGAAUAUUGCACGAUGGGCGAAAGCCUGAUGCAGCAACGCCGCGUGAGGGACGACGGCCUUCGGGUUGUAAACCUCUUUUAGCAGGGAAGAAGCGAAAGUGACGGUACCUGCAGAAAAAGCGCCGGCUAACUACGUG